AGUGAACGCUGGCGGUAGGCCUAACACAUGCAAGUCGAACGGCAGCACAGUAAGAGCUAGCUCUUAUGGGUGGCGAGUGGCGGACGGGUGAGGAAUACAUCGGAAUCUACUUUUUCGUGGGGGAUAACGUAGGGAAACUUACGCUAAUACCGCAUACGACCUACGGGUGAAAGCAGGGGAUCUUCGGACCUUGCGCGAUUGAAUGAGCCGAUGUCGGAUUAGCUAGUUGGCGGGGUAAAGGCCCACCAAGGCGACGAUCCGUAGCUGGUCUGAGAGGAUGAUCAGCCACACUGGAACUGAGACACGGUCCAGACUCCUACGGGAGGCAGCAGUGGGGAAUAUUGGACAAUGGGCGCAAGCCUGAUCCAGCCAUACCGCGUGGGUGAAGAAGGCCUUCGGGUUGUAAAGCCCUUUUGUUGGGAAAGAAAAGCAGCAGGUUAAUACCCCGCUGUUCUGACGGUACCCAAGGAAUAAGCACCGGCUAACUUCGUG
rnacentral:rRNA from 1 species